rnacentral:rRNA from 1 species
GAUGAACGCUCGCUACAGGCUUAACACAUGCAAGUCGAGGGGAAACGACAUCGAAAGCUUGCUUUUGAUGGGCGUCGACCGGCGCACGGGUGAGUAACGCGUAUCCAACCUGCCCAUCACUUGGGAAUAACCUUGCGAAAGUAAGACUAAUACCCAAUGACAUCCCACGAAGACAUCUGAAUGGGAUUAAAGAUUUAUCGGUGAUGGAUGGGGAUGCGUCUGAUUAGCUUGUUGGCGGGGUAACGGCCCACCAAGGCAACGAUCAGUAGGGGUUCUGAGAGGAAGGUCCCCCACAUGGGAACUGAGACACGGUCCAAACUCCUACGGGAGGCAGCAGUGAGGAAUAUUGGUCAAUGGGCGAGAGCCUGAACCAGCCAAGUAGCGUGCAGGAUGACGGCCCUAUGGGUGGUAAACUGCUUUUAUAAGGGAAUAAAGUGGGUCUCGUGAGACUUUUUGCAUGUACCUUAUGAAUAAGGACCGGCUAAUUCCGUG